rnacentral:rRNA from 1 species
AACGAACGCUGGCGGCAUGCCUAACACUUGCCAGUCGAACGAGACCUUCGGGUCUAGUGGCGCACGGGUGCGUAACGCGUGGGAACCUGCCCUUAGGUUCGGAAUAACUCCCCGAAAGGGGUGCUAAUACCGGAUAAUGUCUUCGGACCAAAGAUUUAUCGCCUUUGGAUGGGCCCGCGUUGGAUUAGCUAGUUGGUAGGGUAAAAGCCUACCAAGGCGACGAUCCAUAGCUGGUCUGAGAGGAUGAUCAGCCACACUGGGACUGAGACACGGCCCAGACUCCUACGGGAGGCAGCAGUGGGGAAUAUUGGACAAUGGGCGAAAGCCUGAUCCAGCAAUGCCGCGUGAGUGAUGAAGGCCUUAGGGUUGUAAAGCUCUUUUACCCGGGAUGAUAAUGACAGUACCGGGAGAAUAAGCUCCGGCUAACUCCGUG